rnacentral:rRNA from 1 species
UUGGGGUGAAGUCGUAACAAGGUAUCCCUACCGGAAGGUGGGGAUGGAUCACCUCCUUUCUAAGGAGC